AACGAACGCUGGCGGCAGGCUUAACACAUGCAAGUCGAACGCCCCGCAAGGGGAUGGCAGACGGGUGAGUAACGCGUGGGAAUCUACCCAAUUCUUCGGAACAACUGAGGGAAACUUCAGCUAAUACCGGAUACGCCCUACGGGGGAAAGAUUUAUCGGAAUUGGAUGAGCCCGCGUUGGAUUAGCUAGUUGGUGGGGUA
rnacentral:rRNA from 1 species